rnacentral:rRNA from 1 species
AAAUGAAUUGACGGGGGCCCGCACAAGCGGAGGAACAUGUGGUUUAAUUCGAUGAUACGCGAGGAACCUUACCCGGGCUUGAACUGCAGUAGUGGAAGUCAGAGAUGGCUUUGUCCCUUCGGGGCUGCUGUGGAGGUGCUGCAUGGUUGUCGUCAGCUCGUGCCGUGAGGUGUCGGCUUAAGUGCCAUAACGAGCGCAACCCCUUUCUUCAGUUGCCAUCGGGUAAUGCCGGGGACUCUGUAGAUACUGCCACCGUAAGGUGUGAGGAAGGUGGGGAUGACGUCAAAUCAGCACGGCCCUUACGUCCGGGGCUACACACGUGUUACAAUGGCAGGUACAGCCGGUUGGGGUUAUGCAAAUAAUCUCUAAUCCUAAAAACCUGUCUCAGUUCGGACUGGGGUCUGCAACCCGACCCCACGAAGCUGGAUUCGCUAGUAAUCGCGCAUCAGCCAUGGCGCGGUGAAUACGUUCCCGGGCCUUGUACACACCGCCCGU